rnacentral:lncRNA from 1 species
GAAAGGGAUAGCAUUGCUCAGCCCCCAUGUCAAAGAGAGGGACCACCAUGCAAGCCAUGCGCCCUGGACAAAGGACCUUAAAGGUAAAGGGAGUUUGUGGAGGAAAAUGGCCAAUGCCAGGGUCUUGUCCUCAAUGGCCACAACUGGUACAGGGGCAAGCUCACCUUCAGAAAAUGUGGUCUUCUAGCCCUGAGGAUCACAGACAAUAGAACGGACACCUGCAUGCAGAGGCUUCUGGGAAUCACAGAAUGGUCAGAAUUCUCCAUGCUAUAAGUGGGAGGGAAGAUGCUCAGGGUCUAACAUCAUUAUCACUGGAACAGGUGUGUGCCCCAGCCACAGGGCCAUUGAACAGUGGGCCCAGGCGGACACAAGGAGAGGCGAUCUUGAGAUUGUACCUAUGUGAAGAUCCUGGGAUUCGGUAGAAUUCUAGAGGGUUCCUUCUGAUUUCAUCAUUUCUCUGUUGUUCCUGCUUUCCUUCCUCUCCCCAGUGUGGCCAGAAGCCAAGUGAGCGGACGCAAUUGCUCACAUCUAACCUCUAGGAGGACCGCCAUGUUAUCUGUAAGGCUUCAAGGACUCCAAAACUUGAAUUACCUCUGUGGCUCUCGGGAUGACUUGUGCAUCUGUGGGUAGCUGAGUAUAAAGUUUCAUUUUAAAUUAACAUGCAUAGUCAUUUUACCACAGACCAUCUUAAGAAGACAUGGUUUGCCUGAGAAUCAUGCAUAGGCAAGACCUUCACACCUCAUAGUCCUGCGAUCCUCCAUAAAAGUCAUAAUAAAAAAUGCUGCAGAGUUGUAAUUGGAAGAAUAAUUACCUCCUGACAAGGGGCAGAAGGCAAGAUACCCCCCAACUGGAAUUCUUAAGUUUCAAGAUGAACCCAGUGACUGUUAAGGCACCAAGCCGAUCCCCUCGAAGUGACCUUUUGCUGCCAGCCUUGGUUUCUCUGUACAGGGAUGCAGGAUUCUUGGAUUCUUGAGAGCAGUGCCUCUGGCAUCUAAUAUAAUGUGUGUAUUAAUGGGAAUGCUAAGUCAAGACUGAGAGAUCCUGUGCUGCCGACAGGCUCCCAAGUAAUGCCAGGGUACCACGUCCUCAGUAGCCAGCAUACAGGCAACGAUGAAGCUGAGCUCCUGGAAGAUGCUGAGCAAUCUACUCCUGAAUCUCAGGGGGGCAGAAACAUGGGAGCUGUUUCCCAAGGGGCCCAGAAAGCUCUUCCUUCUUACUGUCAUCAUGACGUGAAUGAUGAUAAAUGUGUCCUUACCUCUUCUGGACAAUGGUAGAGAAUGUGUUGCAAUCUUUUCUUAGUUUAAAUAGCAAGGUGUUGGCCCUAUCGGAUAUUCCAGUAGCUCAGUUCUUGUUUAUGAAAUCAAUCUAAGCUCAAGCAACAAUGGCAUUGAUUAUUCCCUAAGGCCCUCAUCUCUAGCCCACACGCUUCAUAGAAUGUGGGAGCCUAGCCCAGUCUUAUUAACUACAGCCCACACUUCCUCCUUGCUUCCCCUGGAAGUUAAUUACACUUCUGGGGUUUCUAAGUCACCGUGCUUACAAUUGCCUAAAGAGUUUGCAGAAGAAAAAAAAAAAAGGGCUAGUGCAAGCCAACCAGCGCUAAAGUUCUGCAAUGCCAGUGGCACUUGCAUUUAUCAUUUGUAGAGUCCCUAGAAUCUGGGGCUCAGAACCUACCUUAAACCUGGCAGGCCAGCUCUUUAAGUGACCUGUCCAAUGCUGAUGUUUAGCUGACCCAGGAGUUCAUGACGUGGUGAGAAUGUCUCCUGGUCAUUUUAAAUGAAGGGAGACUGAAAUUGUGGCAAUAACAGUUACAGCUUUGUCAAACCUUUGAAACCCAUAACAAAGACAAAGGAAAAUGUUACCUUAAAAACUC